rnacentral:rRNA from 1 species
GCGGUAACACCAGCCCCUCGAGUGGUGGGGAUGUUUAUUUGGCCUAAAGCGUUCGUAGCCGGCUCGGUAAGUCCCCCGUUAAAUCCAGCGUCCCAAGCGCUGGGCCGCGAGGGAGACUGCCGAGCUAGAGGGUGGGAGAGGUCAGCGGUAUUCCUGGGGUAGGGGCGAAAUCCUUUGAUCCCAG